rfam:Haemonchus placei strain MHpl1 genome assembly, scaffold: HPLM_scaffold0000923
CCAACGGCCCUCUUUAGGGCCACCAAAAUACGUUUCAGACAAAUG